UUGUUCUCCUUUUUUAGCAAGCUGGUUAAGAAGAAAACUAUCCAAGUGAACAUUAAAAUACUUUGCAAAAUAAUUCAAGUUUAGCAUACAUAGCAGCCACAAUUAUAGAGAAAAAAAAAGUUGAUAAGUGUAAAAAAUUAAAUUAAAGUAUUUAACAGCAUGUUGCCAAAUCCUAAUAGAAAACUAGAGACUCAAAAACACCUUUGGUUCCUGCAAAAACGGCAUAACAUUCAGAUGGAGAAGUGAAAUGAUUUGGAGCAACAAGGAAAACUUAUAAAAUGCAGAAAAACAGUAAUGAAACAGGAGAAGUGCAGAACUAAUAGUUCCUAAACCACGAAGACGACUUACAUUCACAUCAAAAUUCUCUUAAUGCUUUAAUCAUUUCAUAUUAAAUCCAUAUGGUAUUCACAAGUUUAGAUACUAUGGCAGCUUAUAUGGCUAUAAGCAUCAGAACUAAUCACAGAAAAAUUAAUUGGUUAGAAAACUUAACAUAUCAACAAAAGAUAGCACCAAAAAGAGUGCGAGCAAGUAAUGUUUAUAUGCAUUAUACAUGAAGACAAGCAAAAUUUAAAAAGAGCAUACAAAAAGUACGAAGAUAAAAGAUACCUGCUCGAUAUUGUAUCCAG
rnacentral:misc_RNA from 1 species